AACGAACGCUGGCGGCAUGCCUAACACAUGCAAGUCGAACGAGACCUUCGGGUCUAGUGGCGCACGGGUGCGUAACGCGUGGGAACCUGCCCUUAGGUUCGGAAUAACUCCCCGAAAGGGGUGCUAAUACCGGAUAAUGUCUUCGGACCAAAGAUUUAUCGCCUUUGGAUGGGCCCGCGUUGGAUUAGCUAGUUGGUAGGGUAAAAGCCUACCAAGGCGACGAUCCAUAGCUGGUCUGAGAGGAUGAUCAGCCACACUGGGACUGAGACACGGCCCAGACUCCGACGGGAGGCAGCAGUGGGGAAUAUUGGACGAUGGGCGAAAGCCUGAUCCAGCAAUGCCGCGUGAGUGAUGAAGGCCUUAGGGUUGUAAAGCUCUUUUACCCGGGAUGAUAAUGACAGUACCGGGAGAAUAAGCUCCGGCUAACUCCGU
rnacentral:rRNA from 1 species